rnacentral:lncRNA from 1 species
CUUCCCGCCAGGCCACGCCCACCGCGGUGCCCGCCCCGGACGCGUGCGCAGAGCGCGCUUUCCCUCCCGCGGGAUGUGGACUCUCGGUCGGGCUUCCGGGUCCUCUCCUGGCUCUUCCGCGGUCGUUGUGUGGGCCGCGCCGGGCGCUGCGCCUCGUUAGGCUCCGGGUUCCUCCUCCGGGCAGUGGGACCACACGGCGCGUCCCCGGGGCUUCCGACGGGCUGGCUGCCCUGCCCGCCGUCUGUCCGGCCAGCCCCGCACGCGCGCUCGGGCUUCCUAGUGCGCAGCUGGAGCCACGCGGGUGCGCGCCGCCCCUUGGCCGGUGCAGGCUCUGGUCAGCCUCACCCCCUGGGACGACACUCAGAGCGGGGUCAGCUGGCGGGGCCUGAGUCUCCGCUUCCCAUCUGUGAAGGGGGCUGUCCCCACAAUGCCACGGGGGAGAGGUGGCUUAGAGAGGAUUCCGCGAUGGCCCAGGUCCACCAGCAGUCAUGUGGAUUCGAGAUCUGGCUGGACAUGCUGAUUCCGGCGGCCAGUGCGCCUGUCCUCUGCCCUGCCCCGCUGGUGGCACUUGUCUCAGCUGGUUGCUGCAAGGCAGGCAUGAAGCUCGGCUCGAAGCCACUUAACACAGCAGCAGAUCCUGGAAUGUGUAUCUGGGGAUCAGACUCGACACAGGGAGGUAGGUUGAAUGAUUUGGGCAAGAGGAAACCGCCUUCUCCAUGUCUUUCUUUCUUGAAACCUCCUGGAGCUGCCCCCUUCUCUGCUCCACCGGCAUGUGCGGAACAAACCCCACCUGUGGGUUCCAUGCUCGGCGUCAGGAGGGAGCUGAACGCUGUGCUCACCUGCCAGGACUUUGCCUAAUACCCACUUUGGCUCAUGUCCCUCUUUUUAUGCAGAUGUGAGCACAGCUGGAGCCAGACUUCGGCAGGAUUAAGGAAUCUGGAACAAAGAGGAGCCUGGGCUUCCGAAAGGGCGUGCCGGUCACCACUGUGACUGCGCUGUCCACCUCUUGGUUUUGGUGAACCAGACAACAGGCUUCAGAGCGAUACCCAACCCUUGGUUGUGUUGGUGAUCUUUCAUGGGUGACUGGGCCACCCAGGGGGUUCUUUAGGAUUAGUGGUUCCAAAAUAAGAUGAGGAUAAAAGGUUAGAAAGUGAAAUGAGAGACGAUGCGUGUGGGCACAUUGCGUGUCCGUCUGGAGGAUCAUGAGGGUCUAGGCAGGAAACCUCUGUAGCCAGUGAGCAGAGAGCUGCUGAGGACAAGUUUCUCUGUUGGGGCAGUUUCUUCCUGCCUUGAUUAUAAAGGCAGGAGGUGUAGAUUAUCCAGAGAUGAAAACACGGCUGGCUAGGAAGCAGGUGGUCACCCAGGGGUCACUUAGCAGUGGUUUAUUGAGCACCUGCUGCAUGCCUGGCACAGGGGGUUGGAGAGGGACUGGACAUGGUGCCUCUCCUGAGGGAGCACGUAGUCUGGGGAUCAGACUCACAUAGAAGGAGGCGGGAGAUCUUAUGGUGCAGAAGGAGCUGAGGAAAAGAGGAGCCUCUCUGGGGGUGAGGACAGCCCCUGGCCCAACAGGACUUCGGAGAGAGGCCUCAGUGAGAUGGCAGGCUGACUCUGAGCCCCCUGCUCCCGAUCUCAGUGCACAAAGGUCCCUGACUCUGGGUGUGGCUCAGACAUCCAGAACAUCCCCACUUGGGGACCUCGAAGGCCUGGACACUUGCUGGCAGCAGCUGGCUAAGACAGAGGGCUUCCCCUGGACAUUCUGGGCCACCUAGACCUCCAGAAGCCCUGGGGGGGUGAGGGAUGGGCAGCCCCCCACCCUUAAAAAAGACAUUAUUUCCUCUUCAUCUGACGGUGGGGGCUCAGGGCCAGAUGGAACCUGCAUGGAGCUAGUAAAGUGAUGAGUGUCACCCCACGCUCCCUCUGCCCCGUGCAUGAGUGCGAGGUGCUGUGAGGGUGGCAGACCUGGUGGUUUCCCUGCCCUGUGUGUGUGAAACAAGGGAGGGGCCCCAUGAGUGCCCCCUGUGGGGCUUCGGACAGGCCGAGUGAGAAAGUGGAGGCUUGUGGAGAGAGGCGAAGUGACAUUAGGUCUGUGGUGGGGAAGGGGGGAGGGUGUGUGCGUGUGUGCGUGUGCACACGUGUGGUGAGAAGGAAGUCUCAAGAAAGUAAGCCCUGGGAGAGAGAGAGAAGGAUCAAUGGAUAAGGAGCAACAAGUGUAUUAAAAAAACUUUGAAAUCUAUCAUCUAUCUAUCUAUCUAUCUGUGUAUCUAUCACCGAUCUCUAUCGCUCUGUCUGUCUGUCCAUCUGUCCAUCAGGCCAUCCAUCCAUCUGUCCGUCCAUCCGUCCAUCAUGGAAGGUAUGACACACGUAACAGUGGCCCCCUGGGGUGGGACCACGGGGCAGUGGUGCAAUGAGACCUUUCCCUGUGUGCCCUUUUGUACACCGGGGUUUUUGAAUCACAUGACUGUUACCUAUUCAAAAAAUUAAGUGAAAAAAUCUAAUGUGCGAUAUAUUAUUUGCAAUUGUUAAGAAACAAUAAAUCUGUCUAUU